rnacentral:rRNA from 2 species
AUCGAGAGAGGGGCUUCGUGCUCCCGGGGGCUUCGGCCCCCACCCUCUUCACCCAUUGUUAAUUUACCUUUGUUGCUUUGGCGGACCUCGAGGUACCUCUCGCGCCGAUUUACCGGUCGGCGAGCGCCCGCCAGAGAUCCAUCAAAUUCUGUUUAUUAGUGAUGUCGGAGUUAAAAAACCAAUAAUAAAAACUUUCAACAACGGAUCUCUUGGUUCCAGCAUCGAUGAAGAACGCAGCGAAAUGCGAUAAGUAAUGUGAAUUGCAGAAUUCAGUGAAUCAUCGAAUCUUUGAACGCACAUUGCGCCCUCUGGUAUUCCGGGGGGCAUGCCUGUUCGAGCGUCAUUACACCCCUCAAGCGUAGCUUGGUAUUGGGCCCUCGCCCCCGCGGCGUGCCCGAAAAGCAGUGGCGGUCCGGUGCGACUUUAAGCGUAGUAAAUCUCUCCCGCUUUGAAAGUUCGCCCCGUGGCUUGCCAGACAACCCCACAUACCUCAAUAA